rnacentral:rRNA from 1 species
CCCUUAGAUGUUCUGGGCCGCGCGCGCGCUACACUGACGAUGGCAACGAGUUUUUCCUUCGCCGAAAGGUGUGGGUAAUCUUUUGAAACAUCGUCGUGCUGGGGAUAGAUCAUUGCAAUUUUUGAUCUUGAACGAGGAAUUCCUAGUAAGCGCGAGUCAUCAGCUCGCGUUGAUUACGUCCCUGCCCUUUGUACACACCGCCCGUCGCUACUACCGAUUGAAUAGUUUAGUGAGGACUCCUGAUUGGCGCCGCCGCCCCGGCAACGGAGCAGCGGACUGCCGAAAAGUUGUUCAAACUUGAUCAUUUAGAGGAAGUAAAAGUCGUAACA